UACAGAGGGUGCGAGCGUUAAUCGGAAUUACUGGGCGUAAAGCGCGCGUAGACGGUUUUGUAAGUCAGAUGUGAAAUCCCUGGGCUCAACCUGGGAACUGCAUUUGAGACUGCAUGGCUAGAGUAUGGAAGAGGGAAGUGGAAUUUCCGGUGUAGCGGUGAAAUGCGUAGAUAUCGGGAGGAACACCAGAGGCGAAAGCGGCUCACUGGACAGGUACUGACACUCAACUACGAAAGCGUGGGGAGCAAACAGG
rnacentral:rRNA from 1 species